rnacentral:siRNA from 1 species
GCCAUGGAGGAAGUCGUCACUAAG